rnacentral:rRNA from 1 species
UACAGAGGUCUCAAGCGUUGUUCGGAUUCAUUGGGCGUAAAGGGUGCGUAGGCGGCGCGGUAAGUCGGGUGUGAAAUCUCGGGGCUUAACUCCGAAACUGCAUUCGAUACUGCCGUGCUUGAGGACUGGAGAGGAGACUGGAAUUUACGGUGUAGCGGUGAAAUGCGUAGAUAUCGUAAGGAAGACCAGUGGCGAAGGCGGCGCUCUGGAACGUUUCUGACGCUGAGGCUCGAAAGCGUGGGGAGCAAACAGG